CCUACGGGAGGCAGCAGUAGGGAAUCUUCCGCAAUGGACGAAGGUCUGACGGAGCGACGCCGCGUGAGUGAUGAAGGUCUUCGGAUCGUAAAACUCUGUUGUCGGGGAAGAACAAGUAUCGGCCUAAUACGCCGGUACCUUGACGGUACCUGAUUAGAAAGCCCCGGCUAACUACGUGCCAGCAGCCGCGGUAAU
rnacentral:rRNA from 1 species